UUCAGACUUCUAGCUUCAUCGAUUAAUAGAACAUUUUGGAGUGAAAUUUAUUCAGCAACAACCCCUUGAUCUUCCACACAUGUAACAAACAAUGGCUACAAUCAAUACCAAUAUAAUCAAAGGCAAUGAAAUCACUAUUACAUACAUCUUCUAUAUAUUUCUCUUUAGCCCUCCUCUUUAUCUACCAAAACUUGUAAUUGAUCUUUGUUGUCAAUAAAACAAAG
rnacentral:misc_RNA from 1 species